ensembl:lncRNA
AGAACGUGCACAAAGAAGUAGAGGACCAAACUUAUCAAAUGACAUUCGUGCAACACUAGUGGACCAUGUUGUGAACCACGGAUUGACGCUGAGGGAGGCUGGACUGAGAGUUCAGCCAAAUCUUAGCAGAUAUACAGUGGCAUCUGUCAUAAGGACUUUUUGACAGGAAAACAGGAUUGAGGGUCGGGAACAACAAGGAGGAAGGGGGCCCAUAUUCACCCAAGAACAAGAGAGAGAGAUAAUAAACAUGGUUUUGGCCAAUAAUGCUAUCAGGCUGAGAACUUCAAGCCGACAUUAUCGGUGACCAUGCCAUUUUCAAUAAUGUCCAUCAGUCAACACUGGCACGCAUCCUGAAAAGUCAUCAUGUUCUAAUGAAACAACUUUAUCGAGUGCCUUUUGAGCGGAGUUCAGAGAGGGUCGAACGGCUGUGGCAUGAGUAUGUGGAGGGAGUUUUGCAGAUGGAUGCUGAGGAAAUCCUUCAUGAAUUCAUAUAUAUUGAUGAGGCAGGGUUCAACCUCACAAAAGCAAGAAGUAGAGGCAGAAAUAUCAUUGGCCACAAGGCUAUAAUCAAUGUCCCAGGGCAACGUGGGGUAACAUCACCCUUUGCGCUGCCAUUUCACAGCAGGGGGUUGUCCUCUGUCAUGCCAAAAUGGGCCCUUACAACACAC